AUUGAACGCUGGCGGCAUGCUUUACACAUGCCAGUCGAACGGCAGCGCGGGCUUCGGCCUGGCGGCGAGUGGCGAACGGGUGAGUAAUGCAUUGGAACGUGCCCAGUAGUGGGGGAUAGCCCGGCGAAAGCCGGAUUAAUACCGCAUACGACCUGAGGGUGAAAGCGGGGGACCGAAAGGCCUCGCGCUAUUGGAGCGGCCGAUGUCGGAUUAGCUAGUUGGUGGGGUAAAGGCUUACCAAGGCGACGAUCCGUAGCUGGUCUGAGAGGACGACCAGCCACACUGGGAGUGAGACACGGCCCAGACUCCUACGGGGGGCAGCAGGGGGGAAUUUUGGACAAGGGGGGCAACCCUGACCCAGCCAUGCCGGGGGCGGGAAGAAGGCCUUCGGGUUGUAAACCGCUUUUGUUGGGGAAAAAAUCCUUUGGGCUAAUACCCCGGGGGGAUGACGGUACCGGAAAAAUAAGCACCGGCUAACUACGG
rnacentral:rRNA from 1 species